UAUAUAAUAUAAAAGAUGAAGGAAAAGAGAAUGCAGGUGCACAUAGAUGUGCUAAUAGAAAGCAAAUGGAAUUUCUACUUUUGAUUUGUUUUUUUUUUUUUCCUCCAUGUAGUAGAAGGGAAUUUCCUGUGUUGAGAACGAGGAGGCAAGUUGGAAGUUUGAGGAAAGUGAAAUACGACGACAAGUUACGUUCUACAAUAGAAUAGUGAGAUUUAGAAGCUUGUAGCGAACAGUGACAGUUUAGAGGAAUGGCUGAGGUAAAUGAUAGAGGGGAAUGACUAGGAGUUGCUGAGCACUGUAGAGUGAGAGAGCAGCUAUAACUGGAUUGUGCUCAUUUACUGUGGCAUCGUUCUUCAUGGCUGCUUGGUUUCAGCAGCCACAUCAGCAACCCAUAUGUAGCAGCAGAUGAUGUGAAUGGUCCAGAGUGACACAUGGUUGGAGUUUAGAUGGGCAUGUGUAACAGGGAGGUCUAGAGUCAGAGGAGAGAAAGAGGUUAAGGUGAGAUUAUGAGAUUCGGGGGAGGCCAAGGGGCAGGAAGUAACAUUCUUGGAGAGUAGGGAACAGUUUUCCAUGAGAUCACAGCAAGAUCAGAGUUCAGGGGUCAUGAAAUAAGGAAGUUAGUGUAAAGGAUGAAAUGUCAUAGUCAGAAAGAAGAUAUUUUAGAUAUGGUAUAGGUCUUGAGCCCAUAUAGUAAAUAACUGAAAUGGAGUGCAAAGAGAGGCAACUAUGGUCGAAGGCUCAAAGACACAUAAUCCUGGGUUUUUGGAGGUAACGUUUUUAUAGGCAGUGAGUCCCGGAACAUGAAAAGAGGAAUCAUGGUGGAGGCUUGUGUUAACAUCAAAGAAAACGGAUCUGGGAAGGGCAACAAUUUCAUGAUACUGAUCUCUAAGUUAAUCCUCGGAUAAUCAGGAAUUUGUGUAAAUUUAUAGGCAUAGGACUUAGCAAUGAAACAAAUGCUACUAGGGCAAAAUGAGAAUCCUUUCAAGAUAAUACAUUUUAAAUGCUUUCAAUCCAUGCACCAUGUGGCUUAAGAGCCUCAGACAGAUUUGGGUUUGGAAUUACAUCUUUGACUUGCCAGCUGUGUGGCCUGGGCAAAUUAUGUAUGGACUCUGAAACUUAGCUUCUCUAUCUUUUUUUUUUUUUUUGAAACAGAGUUUCGCUCUUGUUAUUCUCUCUAAAGAUAGAGAAGCCCGGCCCGCUUCUCUAUCUUUAAAGAGAGAAUAAUAAUAUAACCUACUUCAAAAUUUUACAGUGCCCUUUUCAAGGAAAAUAGUCAAUAGAUUAUAGCUGGCCAGGCGUGGUGGCUCAUGCCUGUAAUCCCAGCACUUUGGGAGGCUGAGACAGGUGGAUCACAAAGUCAGGAGUUCAAGACCAGCCUGGCCAACAUGGUGAAACUCCAUGUCUACUAAAUUUAUAAAAAUUAGCCAGGCAUGGUGGCAGGCACCUAUAAUCUCAUCUGCUCAGGAGGCUGAGGCAAGAGAAUUGCUUGAACCUGGGAGACUGAGGUUGCAGUGAGCCAAAUAAUACUACUGCACUCCAGCCUGAGUGAGAGAGUGAGACUCUGCCUCUAAAUAAAAAAGUAAAAUAAAAUAAAAUAGUAAAUGAUAGUUGCAUAGUCAAAGGUAGGGAAAAAAAACCCAGGUAUGUUUAUUGAUAAAAGCUGGAGCAUAUUCAAACUGCUCUGAAUUUAUCAUAUAUAGUAGUCUCACAUGUGGGCAAAGUAAGACUGGGAAAGCAACUGGGAGAUACUCAAGAUUAUAUGGUAAAAUUAUCAGAUUUCCAGCUCUUAGCGGGAAUCUACAGCACCGUCUUUUUUCUUUUUGUUAGACUUCCUGGUAGAACUCCUUGAUGUGGACAUUUCUUACUUCCCAGUGUAAGGAACUCAACAUUGCUCAAGAAAAUCACUCCAGUUUUUAGGGGCUGGGGAGAGGGGAGCAACUGUAAGACUUAGAUUUUUUCUUUAUGCUGCGUUAAGUCUAUUUGACCUUGUUUCCAAUCAUUUUGACCUUCUCGUGCCUCUGGCAGUUCUGUUUUCUCUUCUACAUGACAGCUCUUAAGCCAUCUGAAAACAGUGACUAUUGCUCCUGAAAUUUUACUGCUCUGACAUACUGAGGAGUCUUGGGGUCGUCAGUAUCUUUUUAUGAAACAGCCCAGGGCCUUCGCACUUCUGAUGGCCUCCUCUUGCCUAUUUUAGUCUGUCUUUGUCCCUGUUGAAAUCUCACCUCCAGGCAUGAUCUGCAUGCCACAAAACUGAGUUCAAGUUCUUGCUUCCUAAAUGUGAAUGCCGUUCAUGCUGUCACAGCUCACAUGGAUCUUCUAUUAAUCUUCAGUGUAUUUUCUCAUACACCAUUUUCAUGAACUUCACCAGAAGUAAAGGUGAGCUUUACAAUAAGAGGCAGAGCUUACUCUUUUUCAAGCUUUCAUUUUGUUAGAUUUGCUUCUUGUCCAUGCUUGAUAAUUCUUUUUUUGGAAUACGAAUUUUGGCAAACUGAAUUUAUGUGCAGAUUUGAUGAACACUGGAUAAGUCUUGGGUGACUGGCAGGGGCUUCAUUUACAGUCCUGAUAAAUGUCUUCUCAGUCAAAGCCGCUGAGCCUUGUCUCUUCCUGGUACAUGUGGGAAGAUGGGAAGAAGGAGGGCUACAUGCAGUCUCUGGCAACAUGCCUCUUUAUUACUGGAGAUGAGAUAAAAACACAGGACUUGUAAACUCUAGUGCUUGUUAUACUGGUCCAUGACAGCAUUUUCUCAUCAGAAUCAAAAGUUUUAUUUGUUUUCAGGAAGGAUUAUUUUUGGUUUUCAAAUUAUGCCUUUUAUUCUAUUUGAAUUUAAGUUUUUUUUUUUAGUUUGUAAGACAAAUGUGGUAGUGAGAGUUUUAGAAAUCUGUUCACUAGGAAAAAUAACAUUUAUCAAUCUGUUGAUCCACCAAAUGAAAAAAAAAAUAUCAUGAAAUACUGAAUGUUUGGAGAUUGUUGGUAUCUAACUUAUUGAGAUGUAUUAAAUAAUUUGGAUAAACUAUAAAUGUUUUACUUCUUCCAAAUACUUAUUUCUACUUAAGAAAUAGUUGAUAUAAAAACAAGCAAGGGGGAAAGGAUUCCCUAUUCAAUAAAUGGUCCUGGGAUAACUGGCUAGCCAUAUGCAGAGGAUUGAAACAGGACCCCUUCUUUAAUGCUAUAUACAAAAAUUAACUCAAGAUGUAUUAAAGACUUAAAUAUAAAAAAUAUAAAAAUCAAACUAUAAAAACCCUGGAAGACAGCCUCGGCAAUACCAUCAAGACAUAGGAACAGGCAAAGAUUUCAUGACAAAGAUGCCAAAAGCAAUUCCAAUGAAACAAAAAUUGACAAUUAGGAUUGAAUUAAAGAGUUUCAGUACAGCAAAGGAAACUAUAAACAGAGUGAGAAGACAGCAUACAGAAUGGUAUAAUAUCCAGCAUCUAUAAGGAACUUACAUUUAUAUGGAAAAAAAUACCCAUUAUAAAGCAGGCAAAGAACAUGAAGUUCUUCUCAAAAGUCACUUCUCAAAAGACAACAUAUAUGCGGCUCAUAAUCAUAUGAAAAAACCCUCAAAAUCACUGAGCAUUAGAGAAAUGCAAAUCAAAACCACAGUGAGAUACCAUGUCACACUAGCCAGAAUGACUACUAUGAAAAAUUUAAAAAAACAGAUGCUGGUGAGGUUGGGGAGAAAAAGGAAUGCUUAUACACUGUUGAUGGAAGUGCAAAUGAGUUGAAACAUUGUGAGAGACAGUGUGACAAUUCCUCAAAGACCUAAAAACAGAAAUACCAUUUGACCCAAGAAUUCCGUUACUGGGUAUAUACCCAAAGGAAUAUACCAUUUGUACUGUUAUAAAGACAUAUGCACACAUAUGUUCAUUGCAGCACUAUUUACAAUAGCAAAGAAAUGGAAUCAACUUAAAUGCCCAUCAAUGAUAGACUGGAUAAAGAAAAUGUGGUAGAUACAUACCACAUUUAUGGAAUAGUAUGCAGCCAUAAAAAAGAAUGAGAUAAUAUCAUUUACAGGAUUCUGAAUGGAGCUGGAGGCCAUGAUGCUUAGCAAAGUAACACAGGAACAGAAAACCAAAUAUUGCAUGUGUGAGCAAUAUGAGAGCCAUGAUGAGAACACAUGGGCACAUAGAGGGGAAAAAUAUACACUGAGCCUUUCAGAGGGUGGAGGGUAGUAGGAGCGACUGGAUAAGGACAAAUAACUAAUGGGUACUAGGCUUAAUACCUGGGUGAUGAAAUAAUCUAUGCAACAAACACCCAUGACACAAAUUUAUCUACAUAACUAACCUACACAUGUUCCCCUGAACUUAAUAUAAAAGUUAAAAAUAAUAGUUGAUAAAUUAGAGCUCAUUGGUGUGUUUGGACUAAACAGCAUUACCAAGACAGCAGUUGCAAUGCUCACAGCUCCUCCAUGAGGGAGGGAAGGCUGCAAAUUUGCACUAUCCAGAGAAGGAAGCUAUUGAGUGGCAGGGCCAAUGUGGCACAGUGGGUUUGAUUUUCAACCAGCACACGUGAUUGCCUCUUGAGGUUUUAGACCAGGUUAUUGAAAUAUAGCUAGCACAGUCGUGAAGUAGAAGGGUACAUUAAAUAGAAAGUGGGGUAGUAGGUAAAGCAUCUCUGUAACCCUGCAUAAGUCAGAUCAAUUCUCUUGGCCUUAGUUUACUCAACUGUUAGACUCUAUUUAGUGAAGCCCACUUCCAGCUAUAAAAAUCAAGUUUUUUGCCAUGUCAAUGGAAUGCAACAGGUAAGAACAAAGGAAUAGCAACUAUGUAAAAAAAAAAAAAAAUUGGCAACGUGCUCUCUCUUUCUCUCCUGUAUGUGUGGAUGUGUGUUGCUGGGCAUCCCCUAAUGGAAAUAUGAGGUAGCUCUAGGGACAAACAAAUCACAGGAAAGAGAAAAUACAUGAGAGGAAGGGUCAUAUACGGACAUAGAAAUUGUUUGCUUUUAUUAUGGUAUUGGUGUGAAAAUGACCAGCCCAUUAAUCAGAUAGGAUCAGGUGGCAGAAAGAAAGCAUGGGUUAUCUUGGUAAAUGCCUGAUCUUUCUUCUCUUCCUGUAUCCUCUUCGACUCUAUUUUGAUGGACAUAUUCAGCACUUUUUGAUCUAUAGCAAUUAAAAGGGAGCUUCUGCUGAUGGAAGUUUGUCAGGCCUUUGAAUCUGACACCAGGACCAGAGGGAGAGCUGCAUCUGCCGUGGGAGUCUGGGCUGUCAGGAGAUGAUAGGGGCUUGCCCUUCCAAGGGGAGAUCGCCUUUGGCAGGAGUAAGUGCUUUCACUCAGAGGCAGCCCUGCUAGUGAGAUGAGAGCAGUGUGCACUAAGGUAGCAGAUUCAAAGGAGUGAGCUGGCAAACAGAAUCACAUCACAUCUGCCUGGGAAAGUGAUCAAAAGCAACAGGACCCAGGCAGCUGGCAAAAGGUGACCCCUGGACACUCGGCUCUUUAAAAAACACAGCUGAUCCUAAAGAUUGAGAGAAAGUGAAUGAAUGUGCUCACUGUAAAUCUCUGCCAACUUAAAUCAUACAUCUUUCCUUCCUUCCCUUUUUCUCUUUCUUCACUUUUUAAAAAUCCAUCCUAUCUAGUUUACUACUGACAUGGUUUGGCUGUGUACCCACCCCAAUGCAUCUUGAAUUGUAAUUCCCACAAUUCCCACAUGUUGUGGGAGGAACCUGGUGGGAGGUGACUGAGUCAUCGGGCGGGUCUUUCCCCCGCGGUUCUCAUGAUAGUGAGUAAGUCUCACGAGAUCUGAUGGGAGUUUCCCUUCAGAAGCUUUCUUCUCUCGUCCGUUGCCAUGUUAGACCUGCUUUUCAGUUUCCUCCAUGAUUGUGAGGCCUCCUCAGCCACGUGGAACUCCUGCAACUUUAUGAAGGGAAGAAGUCACUUUCUCUUGAAGAACUUAAACCCUGAGUAUACCAUUUUUGUUUGAGAAUACUGAUGACCGCAUUUCCCAGCUUGCUGAUGAUUCUGACUGCUCAGUACUGACUCCUGUUGAACAUCCGUGGGAUCAAACCUGAGGCUUCACCUCCAAGAGCAUAAAAUACCUAAAUUACCCAUGAAACUUUUAUGAACAAGGCAAUUUUUGAAGCUGAAAAGCAUAAAAUAAUGUCAAAGCUCUCAAAGUGAAGAAGAUAAAAUUGUUCUUCAUCUUUACCUCCUUGCCUGCGCCCUUCUUCCCCCUCCCUCGCUUUUGGCCUAGUGUUUAGUGGAAAGCUCUCUUAUAAAAUUGCCCUCCUUUCACUUCCACAUCUCAGAGUGAUUGACAUCUAGACAAUUUUGUUUUGCCUUGGGUAACUUCAGAGAAUACAUUUUUUGCUCACUGGAUUCAGUACAUAUUUGUGUCUGUACUCUUUUUUGAUUGCAAAGGGUGAGACACUGUCUUUGGCUUUUUCUGAAUCUUCUCUUCAACCUUGUUUUGUGGUUAUUGUAGAAGAUGCCAAAGCGUCAGACUAGCAUUCAUUUGGAAAUCAUUUCUAGUAUAAGUCAGAGUCCUGAUGGGAAAACGGAAACCAUAUUAGGAAUUUAAAAUAGAGUCGAUUUGCUUUGGGGUAUUAUGACACAGAUACUGAUGAGCUGAAAGAGCAGAAAGGUAAAACUGGUGACCUAGAAUAGUAGGUACAGGAAGAGCCUGGGAUAAAGAAGAAACAGUGAAGACAAAGGACCUAUGUGGCUGGUUUAGCGAAUACAGAAAGAAGUUGCAGGCUUGACCAGGGGAAGCAUAGCUCCAAGGGAAAGAAGUAAGACAGGAGGAAGCUCCUUGUCCCUCUCCCCACGUCUCCCACUGUUACUCCAUUAUGCUGCCUACUGGCAGAAAUUCAGUUCCCCAACUGGGGAUCAUAGUUUGCUGUGAGCCCCAGCAUCACACAGUAUAGAGAGUUUAGAGGUAAGAGAAACUGGAUAAUAAAUCAGCACAAUUUCAACAAUUUUUGACACAAAGAGUAUAAUUUCUUAGUAUGCUUUCUAUUUAUACACUAUCAGUGAGAUUCCUAUAAUUAAAUAUAUAAUAAAGCUUCAUCAAAUGGCACUUUAAAUUAGCAAUUUGUAACUCAAUGCAUUUUUAUUCUAUAAUUUAUGAGUUUCCAUUUGUUUAUCUUUGGUAGAGACUAUUUUCAGUUGGCAUUUGAUAAUUAGUAAAUGGGAUUUUCACCUUCUAUUUCAGAACUGAUUCAGUUCUGAUUUUAGAACUGAAUCUCCACAUAAGUUGCAACUACAAACCAUCUAAUAAUCUAGCAAACAUAUUAAAUCAAUUUAAAAAGAACCAAGCAUGUAACAAAUUAUUGUCCUCUAAAGAGAAAAUAAUUUGAGAACAUAUAAAGCAGAAUUUUUAGAGAAGGAAUUUAAAGCUCAUGUAACCAAUGAUCCUUGUUUCUAAAGUUACUUCCCCUUAAUAGUCAAUUCUUUCUUUAUAAAUCUGUAAAGUGCUGGACUGAGACAGUAUUAAAAAAUACAUUUAAAUAAAUUUAGAGAUAAAAUAAA